UGCCUGGUUGCUAUAGCCAAAUUCAUUGUCGUACCAGGAAAUGAGCUUGAUACAGUGGUCAUUGAGGGCGGUGCCAGCGCAGGUAUCAAAGGUGGAAGAGUGGGUAUCACUGUUAAAGUUGCAGGAGACAGCCUGGUCCCCAGUGGAGCCCAGAAUGCUCUUGAGGGGGACCUCUAAUGCCUGCUUCACCAUCUUCUUGAUGUCAUCAUGUUUG
rnacentral:lncRNA from 1 species